rnacentral:tRNA from 1 species
GCGGCCGUAGCCUAGCCCGGUAUGGCGCCGGCCCCCCGCGCCGGAGGACCCGGGUUCGAAUCCCGGCGGCCGCACCA